rnacentral:rRNA from 1 species
GUGUCGUGAGAUGUUCGGUUAAGUCCGCUAACGAGCGCAACCCUCGUCGUAUGUUAUAUGUGUCAUACGAGACUGCCGGUAAAAAGCCGGAGGAAGGUGAGGAUGAUGUCAAGUCAGCAUGACCUUUAUAUCCAGGGCUACACACACGCUACAAUGGUCUGUACAAUGGGUAGCCAAGCCGCGAGGCGGAGCCAAUCCUGAAAGCAGGCCUCCAGUUCAGAUUGCAGUCUGCAACUCGACUGCAUGAAGCCGGAGUUGCUAGUAACCGCAGGUCAGCAAUACUGCGGUGAAUACGUUCCCGGGUCUU